rnacentral:rRNA from 1 species
CCUACGGGUGGCAGCAGUGGGGAAUAUUGGACAAUGGGCGAAAGCCUGAUCCAGCCAUGCCGCGUGUGUGAAGAAGGCCUUCGGGUUGUAAAGCACUUUCAGUGGGGAAGAAAGCCUUGGGGCUAAUACCCUCGAGGAAGGACAUCACCCACAGAAGAAGCACCGGCUAACUCCGUGCCAGCAGCCGCGGUAAUACGGAGGGUGCGAGCGUUAAUCGGAAUUACUGGGCGUAAAGCGCGCGUAGGCGGUCUGAUAAGCCGGUUGUGAAAGCCCCGGGCUCAACCUGGGAACGGCAUCCGGAACUGUCAGGCUAGAGUGCAGGAGAGGAAGGUAGAAUUCCCGGUGUAGCGGUGAAAUGCGUAGAGAUCGGGAGGAAUACCAGUGGCGAAGGCGGCCUUCUGGACUGACACUGACGCUGAGGUGCGAAAGCGUGGGUAGCAAACAGGAUUAGAUACCCGGUGUC